GAACGCACCUUGCACCCUUUGGUAUUCCGAAGGGUAUGCCUGUUUGAGUGUCAUUAAAUUCUCAACUUCAAAAGGGUUUGUGCUCUUUUUUGAAGCUUGGACUAUGGAAGCUUGCUGGUAUCACUAUCGGCUCUUCUUAAAUGCAUUAGCGGAACUGUAAAGGACCAGCUUUGGUUUGAUAAUCCUAUCUAUGCCGCUGCUGUGGACUUGUGCCCCGCUUCUAACCGUCUUUGGACUGCCUUCCGGGGCAUACAAUUUUAAGCUUGACCUCAAAUCAGGUAGGACUACCCGCUGAACUUA
rnacentral:misc_RNA from 1 species